rnacentral:rRNA from 1 species
UACGGAGGGUGCAAGCGUUAUCCGGAUUCACUGGGUUUAAAGGGUGCGUAGGUGGGCAGGUAAGUCAGUGGUGAAAUCUCCGGGCUUAACCCGGAAACUGCCAUUGAUACUAUCUGUCUUGAAUACCGUGGAGGUGAGCGGAAUAUGUCAUGUAGCGGUGAAAUGCUUAGAUAUGACAUAGAACACCAAUUGCGAAGGCAGCUGGCUACACAAAUAUUGACACUGAUGCACGAAAGCGUGGGGAUCAAACAGG